rnacentral:rRNA from 1 species
UUUGAGUUUGUUCUUGUUCAGGACGAACGGUGGGGCGUGCCUAAUCAUCCAAUCGACGGACAGAAGGGUACUCCUCCUGAAGUUACGGCGGCCGGUGAGUACACUGGGUAACCUGCCGUUAGACUGGAUAAUCCGGAAAGCGGGGUUAAUACCGGAAUGUUGUCUGACCUCAUGAUCAGACAUAAAAGGUUGCUUCGGUACGAUUACAGAUGGACCGCAGGGGCAUUAGCUAGUGGUGAGGUACCGCUCACCAAGGCGACGAUGCGUGAAGACCUGAGCAGGUGAUCGGUCACACUGGGACUGAGACGCGGACCAGACUCCUUCGGGAGGCAGCAGUAGGCAAUCUCCUGCAAUGGACGAACAGUCUGACGGAGCAACGCCGCGUGAGUGACGAAGUUUUCGGAUCGUAAAGCUCUGUGAUAGCGAAGAACAAGUACCGUCAAAUAGGGGGCACCUUGACGGUACCUAACCAGAAAGCCUCGGCUAACUACGUGCCAGCAGCCGCGGUAAUACGUAGGUGGCAAGCGUUGUCUGGAAUUAUUGGGCGUAAAGGGCUCGCAGGCGGUUUCUUAAGUCUGAUGUGAAAGCCCCCGGCUCAACCGGGGAGGGUCAUUGGAAACUGGGGAACUUGAGUGCAGAAGAGGAGAGUGGAAUUCCACGUGUAGCGGUGAAAUGUGUAGAGAUGUGGAGGAACACCAGUGGCGAAGGCGACUCUCUGGUCUGUAACUGACGCUGAGGAGCGAAAGCGUGGGGAGCGAACAGGAUUAGAUACCCUGGUAGUCCACGCCGUAAACGAUGAGUGCUAAGUGUUAGGGGGUUUCCGCCCCUUAGUGCUGCAGCUAACGCAUUAAGCACUCCGCCUGGGGAUCCCGCUCU